rfam:Ovis aries breed Texel chromosome 8, whole genome shotgun sequence.
UCCCUGGUGGCUCAGAUGGUUAAGUGUCUGCCUGCAGAACAGGAGACCUGGGUUCGAUCCCUGGUUUGGGAC